AUUCUGCUCAUGCGGGGAAGGAUGAGAAGCUUCGACUAAGGUUCGGCUCGAGCGUCAGCGAGAGAGCGUUGCCGCAGGCAACGACCCGAAGGGCGAAGCGCGCAGCGCUGAGUAAUCCUUCCCCCACCACCA
rnacentral:sRNA from 1 species